AUAAGUUGGACCUUACUUGAUUUAAUUAUUACAUUUAUGAGAAAUAUCUUUUUUUUUAGUAUACUAAAGAAAAAUUUUGUUUUGUUAUAGCAUAUUAGUACUGUUAAGGAAAGGAGAAGAUAAAUAUUUGUUUAUAAUAAGUAUAUUUUAUUUAUAGUACCUUUUGUAUCAGGGUUAAUCAAAUUAUUUUAAUUUAUUUUGAUUUCUCGAUUUUAAAAGAGCUAGUUUAUUAUUUUAGUUAGUGUGACAUAAUUAUUAUUAAUAUAAUUUAGGAAAGAAAUUUUAUUCGUUUUUAAAGGUAUCUAGUUUUUUAAUAAUUAAAUUUAAUUUACUUCUAUUAUUUAAUAAUUAUAUUAUUUUAUCUUUUUAUUUAUUAGAGGAAUAAUAUGGGGAUAAGCUCGAUAUUGUUCUAUAAUUAUUUAUAUUAAUUAAUUUAUGUAGGUUUAAGAUUAUCCAUCAUUAAUAAGUGUGUUAUAAUUUAUGUUUAUUUAUUAAUUAAUUUUAUUUUUUUUAGUUAAAAUAUUAAAAUAACAAAAUUAAUUUUUUAUUUUGUGUAAUAAUGAUUGAAUUAGUAUAAUUAACUGUAUAUUUAUUUAUUUUUGAUAUGAUAAAAUAAGGAACUCGGCAAAUAUAAUUCUCGCCUGUUUAACAAAAACAUGUCCUUUAGAUUAUAAUUGAAGGUCUGACCUGCCCAGUGAUAAUUUUAACGGCCGCGGUAUUUUGACCGUGCAAAGGUAGCAUAAUCAUUAGUCUUUUAAUAGAGGGCUGGAAUGAAAGGUUUAACGAGGAAUUAGCUGUCUCAUUUUGUUUGUUUUAAAAUUUAAUUUUUUAGUCAAAAAGCUAAAAUUUUAUUGGAAGACGAGAAGACCCUAUAGAUCUUUAUAUAAUUCUAUUUAUUUGUUUAUAUAUUAAUAUUAUUAUUUGGAAUUAUAUUUUGUUGGGGUGACAAGAAUAUAUGAUUAACUUUUUUAUUUAUUUAACAUUGAUAUAUGAUUUUUUGAUCCUUUAUUAGUGAUUAAUAGACUAAGUUACCUUAGGGAUAACAGCGUAAUCCUCCUCCAGAGUUCAUAUUUACAGGAAGGGCUUGCGACCUCGAUGUUGGAUUAAGAUAAUAAUCAGGUGUAGUCGCUUGAUUUAUAGGUCUGUUCGACCUUUAAACCCUUACA
rnacentral:rRNA from 1 species